CUACGGGUCGCAGCAGUGAGGAAUUUUGCGCAAUGGGGGAAACCCUGACGCAGCAACGCCGCGUGAGCGAAGAAGGCCUUCGGGUCGUAAAGCUCUGUCAAGUGGGAAAAAAAUUCUUUGAUGAACAGUCAAAGGACUUGAUGGUACCACUGGAGGAAGCACCGGCUAACUCCGUGCCAGCGAGCCGCGGUAAUACGGAGGGUGCAAGCGUUGUUCGGAAUUACUGGGCGUAAAGAGCGUGUAGGCGGUUUGACAAGUCAGAUGUGAAAGCCCCGGGCUCAACCCGGGAAGUGCAUUUGAGACUGUUUCACUAGAGUAUGGGAGAGGGGAUUGGAAUUCCUGGUGUAGAGGUGAAAUUCGUAGAAAUCAGGAGGAACACCCGUGGCGAAGGCGAUUCUCUGGACCAAUACUGACGCUGAGACGCGAAAGCGUGGGGAGCAAACAGGAUUAGAUACCCCGGUAGUC
rnacentral:rRNA from 1 species